rnacentral:rRNA from 1 species
GUAAGGAAUAUUGGACAAUGGACGCAAGUCUGAUCCAGCCAUGCCGCGUGAAGGAUUAAGGUCCUCUGGAUUGUAAACUUCUUUUAUAAGGGACGAAAAAAGGCUUUUCUAAGUCGUCUGACGGUACCUUAUGAAUAAGCACCGGCUAACUCCGUGCCAGCAGCCGCGGUAAUACGGAGGGUGCAAGCGUUAUCCGGAUUCACUGGGUUUAAAGGGUGCGUAGGCGGGCAGGUAAGUCAGUGGUGAAAUCCUAGAGCUUAACUCUAGAACUGCCAUGGAUACUAUCUGUCUUGAAGAUUGUGGAGGUAAGCGGAAUAUGUCAUGUAGCGGUGAAAUGCUUAGAUAUGACAUAGAACACCUAUUGCGAAGGCAGCUUACUACGCAUAUAUUGACGCUGAGGCACGAAAGCGUGGGGAUCAAACAGGAUUAGAUACCCCUGUAGUCC